AUGAGGCAAAGAAUUGAGAGUGCUCUCCAGCCUCUAAGAGCUAGCAAGAAAAUGGGGACUUUUCCAGUCCUGCAACCACAAAGGGAAUCCAGUCAACAACUGAAUUCAGUGAACACCUUGAAAGAACUUGGAAGAGAGCCCAAUGCUCCAAAGGGGAGCUGUAGCACAAGAGGCACCUUGAUUCCAGGCUUGCGAGAGGCUGGACAGAAGAUCCAGCUAAGUUCCUGGAAUAGCACCUGAUACACAAAAGGCAUCCAGCCAAUGUUUGCUGAACAAAGAAAUGAAGGUAAUGUUUGAAAUGAAGGUAAUGUAUGAAGUUGAGAGGGAAUGAAGGGAAGGCAGAAUAAACACAGAAUUGAGAAUCAGGAAAACUUGAAGAGAUUAUUUCCAAAGCUCUUAUUGGUUACAGAGUUGGUUGGUGACAUAUCCAGAAUAUGAUUUUGCUGGCUAACUUCUAGUCUAUACUUUUACUACACCCAUGUAGCUACAAUUACAUUCAGAUCAGGAGACGUUUAGGAAGGACAUCUUCUUUCUUUCUUUUUUGAGAUGGAGUCUUGCUCUGUUGCCCAGGCUAGAGUGCAGUGGCAUGAUCUCAGCUCACUGGAACCUCUGCCUCCCAGGUUCAAGCGAUUCUCCUGUCUCAGCCUCCUGAGUAGCUGGGAUUACAGGCACCCACCACCGCACCCAGAUAAUUUUUGUAUUUUUAGCAGAGACAGGGUUUCAUCAUCUUGGUCAGGCUGGUCUUGAACUCCUGACCUCAGGUGAUCCACCUGCUUUGGCCUCCCAAAGUCCUGGGAUUACAGGUGGGAGCCACUGCACCUGGCCAGGAAGGACAGCUUAAGGAGAGGUUAUAGACAGGAGCAGGAGACAAAGGAGAAUAGAAGUGGGUACACAUACCAAUGAGCAUGGGUGUUGAUAUGGUUUGGCUGUGUCCCCACCCAAAUCAUCUUGAAUUCUAACUCCCACAAUUCCCUUGUGUCAUGGGAGGGACCCAGUGGGAGGUAAUUGAAUCAUGGGGGUAGGUCUUUCUUGUGCUGUUCUCAUGAUAGUGAAUAAGUCUCACGAGAUCUGUGGUUUUUAUAAGCAGUUUCCCCUUUCGCUUGGCUCUCAUUCUCUCGUCUCAUGCCAUGUAAGACAUGCCUUUUGCUUUCCACUAUGAUUGUAAGGCCUCCCCAGCCAUGUGGAACUGUGAGUCAAUUAAACCUCUUUUUCUCUGUAGACUGUCCAGUCUUGGGUAUGUAUUUAUCAGCAGCAUGAAAACAGACUCAUACAGGUGUGUACCCCU
rnacentral:lncRNA from 10 species